rnacentral:rRNA from 1 species
UACGUAGGGUCCGAGCGUUGUCCGGAGUUACUGGGCGUAAAGGGCGCGCAGGCGGCGGUGCUGGCCCGGCGUGAAAGCCCCCGGCUCAACCGGGGAGGGUCGUCGGGGACCGCACCGCUUGAGGGCGGUAGGGGCUGGUGGAAUGCCUGGUGUAGUGGUGAAAUGCGUAGAGAUCAGGCGGAACACCCGUGGCGAAGGCGGCCAGCGUGGGCC